rnacentral:lncRNA from 1 species
UGGCUGAAUACUAUUCUACUGUAUGUAUGUACCUCAUUUUCUUUAUCCAUUCAUCCACAUGUGGAUGUCUGGGUUGUUUCCAUCUUUAGGCUAUUGUGAAUAAUACUGCUGUGAACAUGGGUGUACAAAUGCCUCUUCAAGACUGUUUUCAGUUUCCUUGAGUCUAUAGCCAGAAGUGGAGUUGCUGGAUCAUAUGGUUCUGACUCAGCAGGUCUGAGGCGGGGCCUGACAUUCUGCACGGCUGGCCUGCUCCGGGCGCUGCUGAUGCUGCUGGUUCCUGGACCACCCUUGA